rnacentral:rRNA from 1 species
AUUGAACGCUGGCGGCAUGCCUUACACAUGCAAGUCGAACGGUAACGCGGGGCAACCUGGCGACGAGUGGCGAACGGGUGAGUAAUGCAGCGGAACGUGCCUGGUAGUGGGGGAUAACUGCUCGAAAGAGCAGCUAAUACCGCAUACGACCUGAGGGUGAAAGGGGGGGGAUCGCAAGACCUCUCGCUAUCAGAGCGGCCGAUGUCGGAUUAGCUAGUUGGUGGGUAAAGGCCCACCAAGGCAACGAUCCGUAGCUGGUCUGAGAGGACGACCAGCCACACGGGGACUGAGACACGGCCCAGACUCCUACGGGAGGAAGCAGUGGGGAAUUUUGGACAAUGGACGCAAGUCUGAUUCAGCCAUGCCGCGUGCGGGAAGAAGGCCUUCGGGUUGUAAACCGCUUUUGUCAGGGAAGAAAUCUUCUGGGCUAAUACCCUGGGAGGAUGACGGUACCUGAAGAAUAAGCACCGGCUAACUACGUGCCAGCCGCCGCCGUAAGAC